AGGUACAAGAUUGGAUAUCAGUUCAUCUGGAUCAGAAGGUUUGAACAGGCCAAUGAGUAUUGUCAUCAUCGAGGCAUUUUAUGGAGGCUCCCAUCGACAGCUGGUAGAGCUGCUCCGAGAAGAAUUAGAUGACUGCGUGUUGUACACUCUUCCUGCAAAGAAAUGGCACUGGAGAGCACGCACAGCAGCCUUAUACUUCUCACAGAAUAUUCCCAGCAGUGAGCACUACAGGUAUUUGUUGGAAAACAUCAACUUCUAAACAAAAAGAAGUUACAGGAGCUGGAUUACCUUUCCAUGCCAAUCUAACCAAAAAUGGACAAGAUAGUAUGAAUGUGAUGUUAUAUUGUAGAAAGAUAGAAAAACUCGGCCUUCAACGUGAUGAAACAAAUGAUCUACCCAGAAUUUGAUAUUCCAUGAAAUCACCACUCAGAAAUGAAAGGGGAAGCACAGCCCUUUGCCCUUUUGAGCAAGAGAGAAAAUAAGACCCGUAGAGAAGAGGAAACAGGAAACUUCAUUGGGCCUUGUUUAAAGCACUUGUUUAAAGGUUUUCCACUUCCCUUCAAACCUUUGAUUUUGUUCAUGAUCAUUGUUUGUUUCAUUUUAUUUCAUUUUUUCUUUUACUUUUUCUUUUCUUUUUUUGAGACAGGGUUUUACUGUGUUGAUCCGGCUGGUCUCAAACUCACGAGAGCCUCUGCUUCAGCCUCCUCUAACUGCUGGGAUUAAAAGUUCUCACCACCAUACCCUACUUAUUGUUCAAGAUCUUAAGAGAGGACAGAGUUGAGAACUCUCUCUUUAAGUCCUCUAAAUUUCAGCAGAUGAAAUAGCUUUCUGAAGCGCCACCACGUUUGCAUCCAGGUGAACCACAGGGGAGCCAACAGAUAAGUCCAAUUCAUCAGACACACCACGGUGAACUUCAUUAGCCUGAACUGAUCCACCAGCGGCUUCACUCGCUCUGCAGAGGCUUGCAGAGAAGCUUCUCCUGUCCUUAAGACACCUGAACUGGUUUUGAAUGUGAUGCUGGGCACUUUUUGCUUGAUGAUUGACUAUAAUUGGCUGUGUUUUUUUUGUGUUGAAGAAGUCAAUGACUCUGUAAAAUCAUCAAGAAAUGAAGUCUCACUCUGAUCUUCAAAACAAUCUUGUAAGAUUUCCAGCAUGUUCUGGCCUUCCUUUGUAUGAAUGUUGGGUGCUCUGGAAGGUUGGCAAAAUCUUCUGUGGUAGUUCUUUAGAUGAUCCAGAUGGAACGAGGCCAUGGUUCUGGCCCACUCGGUCAAACGGAGGCCUGAGAGGGAAAUCCAAGCUGGCCAGGGUUCCAGGAGGGUUAGAGUUAGAUUGCAGACAGAGGCAUCCCCAGAGCUGUGCGACCCGCACUUAACACUCGGCAAUUACAUUUCAAAUGUGAAUAAUUUUAUCUACUUCCCUUUUCUUUUAUUUAGUAACUUUUCAAAAUGGUAAUGAGUUUCCUGAGUUGAGCUUUUUAAGAAAUCCUUUAUCUAGACAGUACUUUCUAAAUGACAUAUUUAAUUGAGAAUACUAUGCUAAAAUAUUUAAAUCAUUUAAAAUUUAAUACUUCAAAUUAAAAUAGCUUAAAUUAAAUUUCAAUAGUUUAAAUUAUUUAAAUUAGCAAUGUAUAUUUUUAAAUUUUAAAUAUAGCUUUGUUUUAGUCACAUUAAUAUUUUUAUUUUGCUGGGAUAGGUCUCAGUUCAUGUUCUUAUUAGGAUACAUGUAGAAUAAAUAGGUCAUACCUAUGCAUUUCAUUCCAUAAGUUUUUAUCAUCUUUAUUUUAUGUGUAUACAUGAAAAACUUUGAAAAAUUGGGAGGACACAUACCAUCAUCAAUUAUAGAGUAUAUUAUUUAGAAUCCUACUAUCUUUAAUUUCUCCCCACAGGGGAGACUUUUUGGGACACAUUGUUCCUGUCUAGCCCAGGCCAAUGUGCCCUCACAGAGUGACCUGGACCCAUUCUACCAAAAGCCUAUUGAGUGCUACCAUUAUAGGUCUCUUUUAUCAUGUCUUGGCUUAUAUGUAAUUUUUAAUCUUAGUGCAUCAUGUAUUAUCUUAAUUUUUAAAAUUCUCACUAAUAUAACUGUAUCUUGAAAUACAUGUUUGUAUUUUGGCAAAUUGCAAAUUUUAAAUAUUUGCAAUUUUACUAUUUAAGCCAAAUGCCCCUGUUCCAUAAGUCAUUUGGGCUCUUAUUUGUUAAAUUCAACCUUGGAUCAUUUGAUACCCCUUUUAUUACCGUGGUAAAUUCCAUUAUUGUUCUAUUGAUCUGAGUUGCUAUCAUUUUUUCUAUCUUGAAGUAAAAAUUCCAGAAAAUACUGUAUUAAGUAUUUUACCCAAAUAUAGAAAUGUCCAGAAGUCUUCUAUUGAUUGACUUUUAAUAUUAAAUUUCUGAUUUUCCCUUGCCG
rnacentral:lncRNA from 1 species